UUAAGUAGUGGUGCCGCUCUUAUUAGAAUUAUCAAGUAAUAAGAGUUGUUCGCUACUUAACG
rfam:Caenorhabditis briggsae complete genome, chrX